AUUGAACGCUGGCGGCAGGCCUAACACAUGCAAGUCGAGCGGAUGAAGGGAGCUUGCUCCUGGAUUCAGCGGCGGACGGGUGAGUAAUGCCUAGGAAUCUGCCUUGUAUUGGGGGAUAACGUCCGUAAACGGGCGCUAAUACCGCAUACGUCCUUAGGGAGAAAGUGGGGGUUCUUCGGACCUCACGCUUUCUUAUUUGCCUAGGUCGGAUUAGCUAGUUGGUUGGGUAAAGGCCUACCAAGGCGACGAUCCGUAACUGGUCUGAGAGGAUGAUCAGUCACACUGGAAGUGAGACACGGUCCAGAAUACUACGGGAGGCAGCAGAGGGGAAUAUUGGACAAUGGGGGAAAGCAUGAUACAGCAAAGCCGCGUGUGUGAAGAAGGUCUUCGGAUUGUAAAGCACUUUAAGUUGGGAGGAAGGGAAGUAAGUUAAUACCUUGCUGUUUUGACGGUACCAACAGAAUAAGCACCGGCUAACUUCGUG
rnacentral:rRNA from 1 species